rnacentral:rRNA from 1 species
AAUAGAUACCCUGGUAGUCCACGCCGUAAACGAUGAGUGCUAGGUGUUAGGGGAUCCAACCCUUAGUGCCGAAGUUAACACAUUAAGCACUCCGCCUGGGGAGUACGGCCGCAAGGCUGAAACUCAAAGGAAUUGACGGGGGCCCGCACAAGCGGUGGAGCAUGUGGUUUAAUUCGAAGCAACGCGAAGAACCUUACCAGGUCUUGACAUCUCUCUGACCUCUCUAGAGAUAGAGAUUCCCCUUCGGGGGCAGAGGUGACAGGUGGUGCAUGGUUGUCGUCAGCUCGUGUCGUGAGAUGUUGGGUUAAGUCCCGCAACGAGCGCAACCCUUGAGAUUAGUUGCCAGCAUUCAGUUGGGCACUCUAAUCUGACUGCCGCAGACAAUGCGGAGGAAGUGGGGAUGACGUCAAAUCAUCAUGCCCCUUAUGACCUGGGCUACACACGUGCUACAAUGGAUGGUACAAAGGGUUGCGUAAGCCGUGAGGUGGAGCCAAUCCCAUAAAGCCAUUCUCAGUUCGGU